UUCUAGCCCUGAUUGAAGCAUUUGUUUGAGCUCUUUUUUAUGCUUUUUCAGCAUAAAAAAAGCGAGUGCUGAAAGCAGGAAAUAGC
rfam:Polaribacter sp. LPB0003 LPB3_24, whole genome shotgun sequence.